rnacentral:rRNA from 1 species
UGGGGAAUAUUGGACAAUGGGCGCAAGCCUGAUCCAGCCAUGCCGCGUGAGUGAUGAAGGUCUUAGGAUUGUAAAGCUCUUUUGUGCGGGAAGAUAAUGACGGUACCGCAAGAAUAAGCCCCGGCUAACUUCGUGC